AACUGAGGAUAAUACCGGAUAGGCAAUUAUUCCUGUAAUGGUUUUUUGUUUAAAUGUUUUUUCGCCUAAGGAUGGGUCUGCGGCCGAUUAGGUAGUUGGUUAGGUAAUGGCUCACCAAGCCGUUGAUCGGUACGGGUUGUGAGAGCAAGAGCCCGGAGAUGGAACCUGAGACAAGGUUCCAGGCCCUACGGGGUGCAGCAGGCGCGAAACCUCCGCAAUGUGAGAAAUCGCGACGGGGGGAUCCCAAGUGCCAUUCUUAACGGGAUGGCUUUUCAUUAGUGUAAAAAGCUUUUGGAAUAAGAGCUGGGCAAGACCGGUGCCAGCCGCCGCGGUAACACCGGCAGCUCUAGUGGUAGCAAUUUUUAUUGGGCCUAAAGCGUCCGUAGCCGGUUUAAUAAGUCUCUGGUGAAAUCCUGUAGCUUAACUGUGGGAAUUGCUGGAGAUACUAUUAGACUUGAGACCGGGAGAGGUUAGAGGUACUCCCAGGGUAGAGGUGAAAUUCUGUAAUCCUGGGAGGACCGCCUGUUGCGAAGGCGUCUAACUGGAACGGUUCUGACGGUGAGGGACGAAAGUUAG
rnacentral:rRNA from 1 species